UGGGGAAUUUUGGACAAUGGGCGCAAGCCUGAUCCAGCAAUGCCGCGUGCAGGAUGAAGGCCUUCGGGUUGUAAACUGCUUUUGUACGGAACGAAAAGCUUCUGGUUAAUACCUGGGAGUCAUGACGGUACCGUAAGAAUAAGCACCGGCUAACUACGUGCCAGCAGCCGCGGUAAUACGUAGGGUGCGAGCGUUAAUCGGAAUUACUGGGCGUAAAGCGUGCGCAGGCGGUUAUAUAAGACAGAUGUGAAAUCCCCGGGCUCAACCUGGGAACUGCAUUAGUGACUGUAUAGCUGGAGUGCGGCAGAGGGGGAUGGAAUUCCGCGUGUAGCAGUGAAAUGCGUAGAUAUGCGGAGGAACACCGAUGGCGAAGGCAAUCCCCUGGGCCUGCACCGACUCUCAUGCACGAAAGCGGGGGGAGCAAACA
rnacentral:rRNA from 1 species